rnacentral:rRNA from 1 species
UACGUAGGCAGCAAGCGUUGUUCGGAGUUACUGGGCGUAAAGGGUGUGUAGGCGGUUGGAUAAGUGUGGUGUGAAAUCUCCCGGCUCAACUGGGAGGGUGCGCUACAAACUGUCUGACUAGAGUGUGGGAUGGGAAAGUGGAAUUCCUGGUGUAGCGGUGAAAUGCGUAGAUAUCAGGAGGAACACCGGUGGUGUAGACGCUUCUGACCAUAACUGACGCUGAGACACGAAAGCCAGGGGAGCGAACGGG